rnacentral:rRNA from 1 species
UACAGAGGGUGCAAGCGUUAAUCGGAAUUACUGGGCGUAAAGCGUGCGUAGACGGUUAUGUAAGUCAGGUGUGAAAGCCCCGGGCUCAACCUGGGAAUGCCAUUUGAGACUGCAUAGCUAGGGUACGGAAGAGGGAAGCGGAAUUUCAGGUGUAGCGGUGAAAUGCGUAGAUAUCUGGAGGAAUACCGGUGGCGAAGGCGGCAUCCUGGACCAUUACUGACGCUGAGGCGCGAAAGCUAGGGGAGCAAACGGG